GACGAACGCUGGCGGCGUGCCUAAUACAUGCAAGUAGAACGCACAGUUUAUACCGUAGCUUGCUACACCAUAGACUGUGAGUUGCGAACGGGUGAGUAACGCGUAGGUAACCUGCCUGGUAGCGGGGGAUAACUAUUGGAAACGAUAGCUAAUACCGCAUAAUAUUAAUUAUUGCAUGAUAAUUAAUUGAAAGGUGCAAUUGCACCACUACCAGAUGGACCUGCGUUGUAUUAGCUAGUAGGUGAGGUAACGGCUCACCUAGGCGACGAUACAUAGCCGACCUGAGAGGGUGAUCGGCCACACUGGGACUGAGACACGGCCCAGACUCCUACGGGAGGCAGCAGUAGGGAACCUUCGGCAAUGGACGAAAGUCUGACCGAGCAACGCCGCGUGAGUGAAGAAGGUUUUCGGAUCGUAAAGCUCUGUUGUAAGAGAAGAACGGGGGUGAGAGUGGAAAGUUCACACUGUGACGGUAUCUUACCAGAAAGGGACGGCUAACUACGUG
rnacentral:rRNA from 1 species